rnacentral:sRNA from 1 species
AAGGUUCGACUCGAGCGAAGCGAGAGAACGUUGCCACAGGCAACGGCCCGAAGGGCGAGGCGCUUUAGCGCCGAGUAAUCCUUCCCCCACCACCA